UACGGGGGAUGCAAGCGUUAUCCGGAUUUAUUGGGUUUAAAGGGUGCGUAGGCUGUGAGGUAAGUCAGCGGUGAAAUGCCCCCGCUCAACGGGGUGAAGUGCCAUUGAUACUGCCUUGCUGGAAUGCGGAUGCCGUGGGAGGAAUGUGUGGUGUAGCGGUGAAAUGCAUAGAUAUCACGAAGAACUCCGAUUGCGAAGGCAGCUUACCAGUCUGCGACUGACGCUCAGGCACGAAAGUGUGGGUAUCGAACAGG
rnacentral:rRNA from 1 species